rnacentral:rRNA from 1 species
CCUACGGGAUGCAGCAGUGAGGAAUAUUGGUCAAUGGGCGGGAGCCUGAACCAGCCAAGUCGCGUGAAGGAAGAAGGUACUUAGUGUUGUAAACUUCUUUUGUCGGGGAACAAAGGCGGAGACGCGUCUCCGGAUGAGUGUACCCGAAGAAAAAGCAUCGGCUAACUCCGUGCCCGCAGCCGAGGUAAUACGGAGGAUUCGAGCGUUAUCCGGAUUUAUUGGGUUUAAGGUGUGCGCAGGCGGGAGAUCAAGUCAGCGGUAAAAUGUCGGGGCUAAACCCCGGCCGGCCGUUGAAACUGGUUUUCUAGAGUUGGAGAGAAGUAUGCGGAAUUCGUGGUGUAGCGGUGAAAUGCAUAGAUAUCACGCAGAACUCCGAUUGCGAAGGCAGCAUACCGGCGCUCAACUGACGCUCAUGCACGAAAGUGUGGGUAUCUAACAGGAUUAGAUACCCUUGUAGUC